UCCGUAGGUGAACCUGCGGAAGGAUCAUUAAAAGAAAUUGGUUAUACAUUUCAUGUAUCAACUGUUUAAACCCAUUCUGUGUACCUUGCCUGUUGCUUCCAUGGAGCCUGACUUUGGUCACUCUUGUGAUGUAAAUCCCAAGGGAGUCCCCAUGGAAGGUCAUCAAUAAAACUCAUGUAUCCAAUUUCUUCUGUCUGAACUGUUUAUAACAAAUGUUAAAACUUUCAACAACGGAUCUCUUGGUUCUCGCAUCGAUGAAGAACGCAGCGAAAUGCGAUAAGUAGUGUGAAUUGCAGAAUUCAGUGAAUCAUCGAAUCUUUGAACGCACAUUGCGCCUCCUGGUAUUCCGGGAGGCAUGCCUGUUCGAGCGUCAUUAAAUACCUCUCAAGCACCAUUGCUUGGUCAUGGAAGAUGAGUAUGCUUGCAUUCUCCCUUCUGAAAUUCAAAGGCGGAUCAUCUCAUAUUCCCUGGCGUAGUAAGUGUUUAUCUUUCGCUUGGAGUGUGUGACAGUCUUGCCAUCGACCCCCAUUAUUUCAAGGUUGACCUCGGAUCAGGUAGGGAUACCCGCUGAACUUAAGCAUAUCAAUAAGCGGAGGA
rnacentral:misc_RNA from 1 species